rnacentral:rRNA from 1 species
AACGAACGCUGGCGGCAGGCUUAACACAUGCAAGUCGAGCGCCCCGCAAGGGGAGCGGCAGACGGGUGAGUAACACGUGGGGAUCUGCCCAAUGGUACGGAAUAGCUCCGGGAAACUGGAAUUAAUACCGUAUGAGCCCGCAAGGGGAAAGAUUUAUCGCCAUUGGAUGAACCCGCGUCGGAUUAGCUAGUUGAUGUGGUAAAGGCGCACCAAGGCGACGAUCCGUAGCUGGUCUGAGAGGAUGAUCAGCCACACUGGGACUGAGACACGGCCCAGACUCCUACGGGAGGCAGCAGUGGGGAAUAUUGGACAAUGGGCGCAAGCCUGAUCCAGCCAUGCCGCGUGAGUGAUGAAGGCCUUAGGGUUGUAAAGCUCUUUCGCCGACGAAGAUAAUGACGGUAGUCGGAGAAGAAGCCCCGGCUAACUUCGUGCCAGCCGCCGCGGUAACAC